rnacentral:rRNA from 1 species
AUUGAACGCUGGCGGCAGGCCUAACACAUGCAAGUCGCGCGAGCGGCGGACGGGUGAGUAAUGUCUGGGAAAUUGCCUGAUGGAGGGGGAUAACUACUGGACACGGUAGCUAAUACCGCACACCAUCAGACGUGCCCAGCUGGGAUUAGCUAGGAGGUGGGGUAACGGCUCACCUAGGCGACGAUCCCUAGCUGGUCUGAUAGGAUGACCAGCCACACUGGAGCUGAGACACGGUCCAGGCUCCUACGGGAGGCAGCAGUGGGGAAUAUGGGACAAUGGGCGCAAGCCUGAUGCAGCCAUGCCGCGUGUAUGAAGAAGGCCUUCGGGUUGUAAAGUACUUUCAGCGGGGAGGCGUUACCCGCAGAAGAAGCACCGACUAACUCCGUGCCAGCAGCCGCGGUAAUUC